rnacentral:misc_RNA from 1 species
GAUGAAGAACGCAGCAAAAUGCGAUACUUGGUGUGAAUUGCAGAAUCCCGUGAACCAUCGAGUUUUUGAACGCAAGUUGCGCCCGAAGCCUUUUGGCCGAGGGCACGUCUGCCUGGGCGUCACGCAUCGCGUCGCCCCCCCACAAUUCUCCGUAAAGGGAACAUGUGUUUUGGGGGCGGAUAUUGGUCUCCCGUGCUCAUGGCGUGGUUGGCCGAAAUAGGAGUCCUUUCGAUGGACGCAUGAACUAGUGGUGGUCGUAAAAACCCUCGUCUUUUGUUUCGUGCUGUUGCUCGCAAGGUAAACUCUUUAAAAACCCCAAUGCGUCGUCUCUUGACGACGCUUCGACCGCGACCCCAGGUCAGGCGGGACUACCCGCUGAGUUUAAGCAUAUCAAUAAGCGGAGGA